rnacentral:rRNA from 1 species
GAGACCGGCGCACGGGUGCGUAACGCGUAUGCAAUCUACCUUUUGCAGAGGGAUAGCCCAGAGAAAUUUGGAUUAAUACCUCAUAGUAUAGCAGUUUCGCAUGAAACCACUAUUAAAGUCACAACGGCAAAAGAUGAGCAUGCGUCCCAUUAGCUAGUUGGUAAGGUAACGGCUUACCAAGGCUACGAUGGGUAGGGGUCCUGAGAGGGAGAUCCCCCACACUGGUACUGAGACACGGACCAGACUCCUACGGGAGGCAGCAGUGAGGAAUAUUGGACAAUGGGCGCAAGCCUGAUCCAGCCAUGCCGCGUGCAGGAUGACGGUCCUAUGGAUUGUAAACUGCUUUUGUACAGGAAGAAACACUCCCUCGUGAGGGAGCUUGACGGUACUGUAAGAAUAAGGAUCGGCUAACUCCGUGCCAGCAGCCGCGGUAAUACGGAGGAUCCAAGCGUUAUCCGGAAUCAUUGGGUUUAAAGGGUCCGUAGGCGGUUUAGUAAGUCAGUGGUGAAAGCCCAUCGCUCAACGGUGGAACGGCCAUUGAUACUGCUAGACUUGAAUUAUUAGGAAGUAACUAGAAUAUGUAGUGUAGCGGUGAAAUGCUUAGAGAUUACAUGGAAUACCAAUUGCGAAGGCAGGUUACUACUAAAUGGA